rnacentral:tRNA from 1 species
GCGCCGGUGGUGUAAAACGAACAUCACUGCUCGGAAUGCAGAAGAUGCGGGUUCGAGUCCCGCUUAACGCA